AGUGAACGCUGGCGGCGUGCUUAACACAUGCAAGUCGAACGGAAACAGAUAGAAGCUUGCUUCUAUGCUGUCGAGUGGCGCACGGGUGAGUAAUGUAUAGUUAAUCUGCCCCUUAGAGAGGGAUAGCCACUGGAAACGGUGAUUAAUACCUCAUACUCCUAUAUAUAUAAAGUAUAUAGGGAAAUGUCUUUUCGCUAAGGGAUGAGACUAUAUGGCAUCAGGUAGUUGGUGGGGUAAUGGCCCACCAAGCCAAUGACGCCUAGCUGGUCUGAGAGGAUGAUCAGCCACACUGGUACUGAGACACGGACCAGACUCCUACGGGAGGCAGCAGUGGGGAAUAUUGCACAAUGGAGGAAACUCUGAUGCAGCAACGCCGCGUGGAGGAUGACGCAUUUCGGUGUGUAAACUCCUUUUAUAUGGGAAGAUAAUGACGGUACCAUAUGAAUAAGCACCGGCUAACUCCGUGCCAGCAGCCGCGGUAAUACGGAGGGUGCAAGCGUUACUCGGAAUCACUGGGCGUAAAGCGCGCGCAGGCGGCUUAAUAAGUUGGAUGUGAAAUCCUAUGGCUCAACCAUAGAACUGCAUCCAAAACUGUUAAGCUAGAGUCUGGGAGAGGAAGAUGGAAUUAGUUGUGUAGGGGUAAAAUCCGUAGAGAUAACUAGGAAUACCAAAAGCGAAGGCGAUCUUCUGGAACAGUACUGACGCUGAGGCGCGAAAGCGUGGGGAGCAAACAGGAUUAGAUACCCUGGUAGUCCACGCCCUAAACGAUGAAUGUUAGUCGUUGGAGCUCUAGUAGCUUCAGUGAUGCAGCUAACGCAUUAAACAUUCCGCCUGGGGAGUACGGUCGCAAGAUUAAAACUCAAAGGAAUAGACGG
rnacentral:rRNA from 1 species